rnacentral:rRNA from 1 species
AUUGCACGCUGGCGGCCGGCCUAACACAUGCAAGUCGAGCGGAGCGGCGGACGGGUGAGUAAUGCCUAGGAAUCUGCCUGGUAGUGGGGGAUCACGUCCGGAAACGGGCGCUCAUACCGCAUACUCUCAGAUGAGCCUAGGUCGGCUUAGCUAGUUGGUGGGGUAACGGCCUACCAAGUCGACGAUCCGGAACUGGUCUGAGAGGAUGAUCAGUCACAAUGGAACGGAGACACGGUCCAGACUCCUACGGGAGGCAGCAGUGGGGAAUAUUGCACAAUGGGGGAAAGCCGGAUGCAGCCAUGCCGCGUGGAGGAAGAAGGCCUUCGGGUUGUAAAGUACUUGCAGCGGGGAGGCGUUACCCGCAGAAGAAGCACCGGCUAACUCCGUGCCAGCCGCCGCGGUAAUAC